rnacentral:rRNA from 1 species
UGGGAAAUAUUGGACAAUGGGCGAAAGCCUGAUCCAGCCAUGCCGCGUGUGUGAAGAAGGUCUUCGGAUUGUAAAGCACUUUAAGUUGGGAGGAAGGGCAGUAAGCGAAUACCUUGCUGUUUUGACGUUACCGACAGAAUAAGCACCGGCUAACUCUGUGCCAGCAGCCGCGGUAAUACAGAGGGUGCAAGCGUUAAUCGGAAUUACUGGGCGUAAAGCGCGCGUAGGUGGUUCGUUAAGUUGAAUGUGAAAGCCCCGGGCUCAACCUGGGAACUGCAUCCAAAACUGGCGAGCUAGAGUAGGGCAGAGGGUGGUGGAAUUUCCUGUGUAGCGGUGAAAUGCGUAGAUAUAGGAAGGAACACCAGUGGCGAAGGCGACCAACUGAGCUCAUACUGACACUGAGGUGCGAAAGCGUGGGGAGCAAACAGG